rnacentral:rRNA from 1 species
GCUUGUCUCAAAGAUUAAGCCAUGCACGUGUAAGUAUAAAAUAACCUAUACUAUUGAAACUGCGAAUGGCUCAUUAUAUCAGUUAUAGUUUACAUGAUAAUAAUUUUCUACUUGGAUACCCGUAGUAAUUCUAGAGCUAAUACAUGCAUAAAUCCCCGACUGCUUGGAAGGGGUGUAUUUAUUAGAUGGAAACCAAUUCGGGGUAACCCGGUUUAUGGUGAUUCAUAAUAACUUUCGGAUCGACGCAAGUCGAUGCAUCAUUCAAGUUUCUGCCCUAUCAGUUGUGGAUGGUAGGGUAUUGGCCUACCAUGACUUUAACGGGUAACGGAGAAUUAGGGUUUGAUUCCGGAGAGGGAGCCUGAGAAACGGCUACCACAUCCAAGGAAGGCAGCAGG